ACGAUGCCAACUGACGAUCCGUGGUGGUAGUAUAAUAACCUUCCCCACGGGCAGUCCCCGGGAAACCUUUAAGUCUUUGGGUUCCGGGGGAAGUAUGGUUGCAAAGCUGAAACUUAAAGGAAUUGACGGAAGGGCACCACCAGGAGUGGAGCCUGCGGCUUAAUUUGACUCAACACGGGAAAACUCACCCGGCCCGGACACUAUGAGGAUUGACAGAUUGAUAGCUCUUUCUUGAUUUGGUGGUUGGUGGUGCAUGGCCGUUCUUAGUUGGUGGAGCGAUUUGUCUGGUUAAUUCCGAUAACGAACGAGACUCUAGCCUGCUAAUUAGUGCACCUGUCCACUGUUCCUGUGCAAGCGGCGUUUCGGCGAUUCUGCUCAGUUCAUCUGUGCAGCGGAGUGGUAGUCAUUGGCAGUGCCUUCGCGGUGCUGUCGGCGGCUGCUGUUCUGUUGUUUCAGUUUGAGUGGAUGGACCUGCGUUUGCUUCCGGGUACGGCGCGGGUGUUUACUUCUUAGAGGGACAAGCGAAUGAAAGCGCACGAAAUUGAGCAAUAACAGGUCUGUGAUGCCCUUAGAUGUCCGGGGCCGCACGCGCGCUACAAUGACGGUGCCAACGAGUCUGACCUUCUGACCCGAAAGGGUUGGGCAAACUGGUCAAUCACCGUCAUGACAGGGAUCGGGGCUUGGAAUUGUUCCCCGUGAACGAGGAAUUCCUAGUAAGUGCAAGUCAUAAGCUUGCGCUGAUUACGUCCCUGCCCUUUGUACACACCGCCCGUCGCUACUACCGAUUGAAUGGUUUAGUAAGGUCCUUGGAUUGGCGCUAUUGAAGUGGGCUCCGAAAGGUGUUCGCUCGACAGGUGCUGAGAAGACGACCAAACUUGAUCAUUUAGAGGAAGUAAAAGU
rnacentral:rRNA from 1 species